GUGCUGGAAGAUCGUCAGUUUUCUCUGGCUUAGCAGAGAUCAUCAAAUGCGGAACCAUCAGCUCUAAUUCGGGAACAUCAUUGCUGGAGAGCUGCGCUGCUCCAACCGAGGCUCUUAGGAACCAACUCCGCUCAAUGUCUGCUGAUAAGUUCGGUGCAUGCGGGUCAGCUCUAUCGUCUGGUUUAUAUUUCCAUUCUUCCUUCAUUUCUUACUUUCAUUCUGGCUUUACUUUUAUUUGCAUGGCUCCAUUAUUUACUUUACUAUUACUACUACUACUACUAUUAUUAUUAUCCUUAUGCUAUUUGUAUUUUCCCCUUCCAUUCAUUCUCUUUCCUUGUUCUUUCUCUAUGUCUUCUCAUUCCUGCUUAUCCCUGUCCUGCCUUUCCCCUCCUCCUCGUCUGUUUCCAUCUUGUCUCCUCUGAUUUUUUUUCCUUCACUAAAAUAUUUUCCAAAUCCUCACAAUGUAGUUUGGGAAUAUCUCUCUUUCUUCUUCUUUUACCCGACUCCUUCAUGUACCUCCUUGUUUAGUUGGGUUAAAAAACAAAGAAACAAACAAACAAAAAACAAACAAAACCCCCUCAAGUUUUCUUUCUACAGUCUUCCUCCUUUCUUGUCGUUGCCUCUCCUGGAGUCUUCUACUUCCAUACUUACAUCUUCUGGACAUUCUUUCCUUCAACAAAACCUUUUAAAAAUACCUACAGCACCCCUUCCACGAACCACGCACGUGCCUUGGGGCCCAGGGUCUCGUUUCUCUGCCCUACACUUCCUGUCCAUGUGGAGAGGGAGCAACACAUUUGCUGUCCAUGCACCUCCAACUUCCCCUCCCUCCAGGAAAGAGGACACACUCUUCAGCCUCCACAGCUCUCGAGGACCCAGCAAUAACAAAGCAAAGCAGUCAGAGGUCAAAGAACAGCUACAUCGAAAGAGGUUCCACCACUCUCUGGCACAGAAUCGGAGGCCACAAUGAUUGGGAUAUCUGUGCAUAAAGGCCUGAAAGGGUUCAAACAAAUCACGGAAUUUUCUCAUUCAGAAAC
rnacentral:lncRNA from 1 species